CACGGGGGGAGCAAGCGUUGUUCGGAUUUAUUGGGCGUAAAGAGCGUGUAGGCGGCCAGGUAGGUCCGGUGUGAAAACUCGAGGCUUAACCUCGAGAUGUCAUCGGAAACCAUCUGGCUAGAGUCCGGAAGAGGAGAGUGGAAUUCCUGGUGUAGCGGUGAAAUGCGCAGAUAUCAGGAAGAACACCAAUGGCGAAGGCAGCUCUCUGGGACGGUACUGACGCUGAGACGCGAAAGCGUGGGGAGCGAACAGG
rnacentral:rRNA from 1 species